rnacentral:lncRNA from 1 species
GGUGGCUGGGGUGUCUUCCUCCAUCUUGGAUUUUGAAGUAACAGAUAAUAAUUGGUUUAGAUCUUUGAUGAAAUAUGCAAAUUUUGAGAGUAGCAUUUAAUUCAUGUGCAUGACUUGUCCUGUUAUUAUAGAACAUUAUGUGUUUUAUAAUAUUUACAAUCUUUUCUUUUGAUUAAUUUUUUUUCUUCAAAUUUGACACAUG